AGCCAAGCUCAGAGGUUAAAGCGUCUGCCUCUAAUACAGGAGACCAGGGUUCAAUCCCUGGGUU
rnacentral:tRNA from 1 species